GGAUAAUACGGACAAGCAGAGAAAGGGGAAGACCGAACUCCUGUACGACUGGAUGCCCUGCGAUCUAUGCGGGAAAACCUGGCCUCCAACCUGGCAGAUGGCUUGAUACUCACUCCAGUUUUAUUUUGUUUCUGUCAUAAUACCUACACAAAAGUUAAAUCCAAAUUGAUCCUUGGCUAGAUUGUUUUUUAUGAUAUUUUGUUCAUUUUUUUGGUAGGUUUGUAUUGUUUUAAUAAAGAUUUGUAUUUACUAA